UUCCAGAGAUGGAUUGGUGCCUUCGGGAACUGUGAGACAGGUGCUGCAUGGCUGUCGUCAGCUCGUGUUGUGAAAUGUUGGGUUAAGUCCCGCAACGAGCGCAACCCUUAUCCUUUGUUGCCAGCGGUCAGGCCGGGAACUCAAAGGAGACUGCCAGUGAUAAACUGGAGGAAGGUGGGGAUGACGUCAAGUCAUCAUGGCCCUUACGACCAGGGCUACACACGUGCUACAAUGGCGCAUACAAAGAGAAGCGACCUCGCGAGAGCAAGCGGACCUCAUAAAGUGCGUCGUAGUCCGGAUUGGAGUCUGCAACUCGACUCCAUGAAGUCGGAAUCGCUAGUAAUCGUGGAUCAGAAUGCCACGGUGAAUACGUUCCCGGGCCUUGUACACACCGCCCGUCACACCAUGGGAGUGGGUUGCAAAAGAAGUAGGUAGCUUAACCUUCGGGAGGGCGCUUACCACUUUGUGAUUCAUGACUGGGGUGAAGUCGUAACAAGGUAACCGUAGGGGAACCUGCGGUUGGAUCACCUCCUUA
rnacentral:rRNA from 2 species